ensembl:lncRNA
CCCCAGCCCCACCCAGCUUGCACAACUCAGAGCAUUUGCAUCCACAAUUCCCUCCCUUCAUCACUCACUUGGUCUUUGAGGAGUCAUUUCUCCAGUCAGGACGUGUGAGCAUGUAUGCUGGGAGACUUCCAUGGCACAUUUUGGAACUUUGUGCUUUUUUUUUUCCCCUUAGGAUGAACCAUGUGAAAGUGCCAGUUUUGUGAGUCACCAUUGUGUAUGGUUCAACCUGGUACCUGUCAGUUAUCCAGUCUCGUGUGCCGAUGUCACUGUCACCGUGAGGUGUGGUUCUCAUUCCUGAAUCUGGAUGAAUUGGCUGGAAGCUCAGGAAGGAGGUUUCUCUUCAGGAAAGAAAUGGAAGAAUAUAAGCCUCCUGCUCCAGCAGCGCCCAUGGCUGCCUUCCAGCUGGGCCUGGAUCCUCUGCUAUCGUGGACCCCACCCUGCACGUUCCUGUCUGCAUCUGGAGGCCCCGCGGCCUCUGGCUGUUGGCCUACUAGAGCAAGGCAGACUUUCUCAGCCCAGCAAAGGCGUUGGCUCUGGAGACAAGAAGUUAGAGAGAACUCAAGAAGCCAAUGGGUAAGGAAUUCCAAGGUCUUUGUGGAGCUCCCAGUGAAAAAUAUAGGUCAAUGCUUGUUUUCUGAAAGGAUUCUUCUUUCAGGAUUGUUGGGCUCUGUUCUUCCCUUUGAGCAAAAGCAUGACAUAAGAUAAGGAAAGUCCAUUUCAUUCAAUUGUAGAUUAAUUGCUACCAUUCAACUGUUUUUGAUCUACAAAAUUGGCAUUUCCAUAUGGUUCUACCUACUACAUUAUGUCAACACUGUUCUGGGCAUUGAAGGUAACAAGAAUGGUAAGAAAAGGUGCUUCAGGGGCCAUAGUUUCCAAUAAGGGAGAUGGGCAUUUAAGUGAAUGUCAUAGAACAUUGUGAAUAGUCUAAUUAUAGAGGGUGUGACAAAUCUUGCUUGUUCAGAAUAGAAGAUUGCCAGAAUCAGUUCUAAGUUAUUGCACGCACAGGAGCUUCUUUGUUUAAGACUAGUUACUCUCUACCAGCUCUUAGAGUGGGGAGAAAGAGGUGUGCAGCAUUUUUUAAAUUCUAUUUAUUUUUUAAUUUUUAAAAUAUUUAUUUAUUUUUAAGUUUAUUUAUUUUUGAGAGAAAGAGAGACAGAGACAAAGACAGAGUGUGAGUGGGGGAGGGACAGAGAGAGACAGAGACACAGAAUCCAAAACAGGCUGUAGGCUCUGAGCUGUCAGUACAGAGCUGGAUGUGGGGCUCGAACUCACGAACUUCGAGGUCAUGACCUGAACCGAAGGCAGACGCUUAACCAACUGAGCCACCCAGGUGACCCAUGUAGCACUGUUUUUUCACUCAUUUUUAAAUUUUUGAAUAAUUUUGGGUUUAUUGAAAAGUUGCAGAGAUAGUACAGACAGUUCCCAUAUAUCCAUCACCCAGUUUCCCCUAAUAUCUUACAUUGCCAUGUACAUUUGUUAAAACCAAGAAAUCAGCAGUGGUACAUUACUAUUAAACAAACUCCAGACUUAUUUUAAUCUUAUCCUUUUCCACAGCUGUCCUUUUUUCUAUCCACACUGCAUUUAGGUGGGGUGGUUUUAAAAUGUGUUUGCAAUUUUUUUUGACACUCCUUCCAUGGAAAGUGGGGUCUAUGUUCCCUGGAAACUGGAUAGUCUUUGAGGACUAUUUUGGUCAAUAGAGUACAGUGGAAGUGACAAUGCACGACUUUCCAAGUUUAAGUGGUGAUUCUUCUUGAAGACUCCAGUGUCCAUGUAAGCAAUCCAACAGCUCUGAGCCACCAUGUUGGGAGGAAACUCAAGGUAGCCCAUGCAGAGACACCACAUGGGGAGUCCUUGAGACAACAUGGGGAGAGAUACUCAGCCACACUCCAGCCUCCUAACCCCCAGCUGCUCCACACAGUUCCAGCUUUAACCACUGUCAGACUGCAACCAAGUGAAAGACCCUGAGCCAGAGCUUGCCAGUCAAGUAUUUCCUGAAUUCCUAACUCAGAGAUGCUGUGAGAGGUGUUACAAUGAUUGCUGUUUUAAGCAAUUCUGUGUUGGGAGUUUCAUGAUGUAGCAGUAGAUACAUGGACUAAGAUGGUUCUACCAGCAGUCUAAAUGAGGUAUGAGACUCAGUCACACAUAAUAACCUUUCAGAUGUUCCACUGUUUCAUUUUUCACACAUUUACUGAGCACCUACUAUAUCCCAGGUAUGGUACUAGGUGCUAUGAAACUAGGUGACUGAGAUAGUUUCUGACCUUGAAGAAAGAAAAGCAGAUGAUUCAACAAAUGGCCACACUAUGAUAUGUUAAGGUAGUGUCAUGAGAUGAGAGAAAAGGGACAAAUUUCCCAGGAGAUGUGAUGGAUACCCUUUGCAUGGAUCAGGAUUUGAAAGAUGAAUCAGAAUUUUCCACUGGGGAAGGGGGUGAGAGUGAAUGGUGCAUUAAGGGAACCUGGAAGAGCUCUGCAUAGCUGGAAACAGAGUUUAUUUGCAUGAGUGUGUGUUUGGGGUUGGGAGUGGAGUCAGGCACGAAGAAGAAGUAAAAGUGAAAAAAACUGAACAGGGACACUGAGGUCGAGUUUCCAGAGUGGAAUCUGAGGUGGGAAGUGGAACGUCAUAUCUUUUAGCCUGGAUCUGAUUCUUCUUCUAGAAACUUCUGAAGAAGAUGAUGUUUAAAUAUUAGUUGCUAGUGCCCUUAGGAAUUUGAGCCUAAAAUAUACAUCCACUGUAUGUAGCUUGACCUUCUGAAAGAAUAAACUUUGGAAAUGACUGGAGGUUAAGUUCCA